rnacentral:rRNA from 1 species
ACGAGCCUACGGGAGGCAGCAGUGGGGGAUAUUGCACAAUGGGGGGAACCCUGAUGCAGCGACGCCGCGUGGGUGAAGAAGCGCCUCGGCGCGUAAAGCCCUGUCAGCAGGGAAGAAAAUGACGGUACCUGACCAAGAAGCCCCGGCUAACUACGUGCCAGCAGCCGCGGUAAUACGUAGGGGGCAAGCGUUAUCCGGAUUUACUGGGUGUAAAGGGAGCGUAGACGGCAGGGCAAGUCUGGAGUGAAAGGCGGGGG